rnacentral:rRNA from 1 species
GGCUCAGGAUGAACGCUGGCGGCGUGCUUAACACAUGCAAGUCGAACGGAGUAUUUCGCCCGAGACCUGAGGUAGCUUGCUACGGAUGGAAUCAAUUGAAAUACUUAGUGGCGGACGGGUGAGUAACGCGUGAGUAACCUGCCCUUUAGUGGGGAAUAACACCGAGAAAUCGGUGCUAAUACCGCAUAAUGUCAGAGGACCGCAUGAUCUUCUGACCAAAGGAUUUAUUCGCUAAAGGAUGGACUCGCGUCCGAUUAGCUAGUUGGUGAGGUAACGGCCCACCAAGGCAACGAUCGGUAGCCGAACUGAGAGGUUGAUCGGCCACAUUGGGACUGAGACACGGCCCAGACUCCUACGGGAGGCAGCAGUGGGGAAUAUUGGGCAAUGGGCGCAAGCCUGACCCAGCAACGCCGCGUGAAGGAUGAAGGUCCUCGGAUUGUAAACUUCUUUGAUCAGGGACGAAUUUUGACGGUACCUGAAGAACAAGUCACGGCUAACUACGUGCC